CUUUAGAAUUUUACUAUAUNNNNNNNNNNNNNNNNNNNNNNNNNNNNNNAUAUAAUAAUUAUUAUGUGUAUCUGUGCAAAUGCUUCUGGUUCUGCCACAUACCAUAGUCUCUACUUUUGUGGCUAGGCUUUUAAAUUCCGGAGUUUGAGGGUCUUUCAGUGCUGGAACAAACACCUCUAUAAUGACAAUCUGUAUGGCAACAGUUGGCUGAGGACGUGCUGGUGCUGCUGUUGUGGUUGCUGCUGUUGUUAUUGUGGUUGUUGUUGCUGUUGUUUUAGGAUUGGCAGUAGAUGUUGUUGUUGUUGUUGUUUUUGUUGUUGUUGUUGUUGUUGUGGUUGUGGGUGUUGUUGUUACAGUUGUAUUAGGUUUGGCAGUAGAUGUUGUGGUUGUUGUUGUGGUUGCUGUUGAUGCUGUUGUAUUAGGAUUGACAGUAGAUGUUGUGGUUGCUGGUGUUGUUGUUGUUGUUGCUGUUGUAUUAGGAUUGGCAGUAGAUGUUGUGGUUGCUGUUGUUGUUGUUGUUGCUGUUGUAUUAGGAUUGGCAGUAGAUGUUGUGGUUGCUGUUGAUGCUGUUGUAUUAGGCUUGGCAGUAGAUGUUGUGGUUGCUGUUGAUGCUGUUGUGUUAGGAUUGGCAGUAGAUGUUGUGGUUGCUGGUGAUGCUGUUGUAUUAGGAUUGAUAGUAGAUGUUGUGGUUGCUGUUUUAUUAGGAUUGACAGUAGAUGCUGUGGUUGCUGUUGUAUUAGGAUUGGCAGUAGAUGUUGUGGUUGCUGUUGAUGCUGUUGUAUUAAGAUUGGCAGUAGAUGUUGUGGUUGUUGUUGUUGAUGAUGCUGUUGUAUUAGGAUUGGCAGUAGAUGCUGUGGUUGUUGUUGUUGCUGUUGUAUUAGGAUUGGCAAUAGAUGUUGUGGUCGCUGGUGAUGCUGUUGUAUUAGGAUUGACAGUAGAUGUUGUGGUUGCUGUUGAUGCUGUUGUAUUAGGAUUGGCAGUAGAUGUGGUGGUUGUUGUUGUUGCUGUUGUAUUAGGAUUGACAAUAGAUGUUGUGGUCGCUGGUGAUGCUGUUGUAUUAGGAUUGACAGUAGAUGUUGUGGUUGCUGUUGAUGCUGUUGUAUUAAGAUUGGCAGUAGAUGUUGUGGUGGUGGUUGUUGUUGUUGCUGUUGUAUUAGGAUUGGCAGUAGAUGUUGUGGUUGUUGUUGAUGCUGUUGUAUUAGGAUUGGCAGUAGAUGUUGUGGUUGUUGUUGUUGCUGUUGUUGUAAUAGGAUUGGCAGUAGAUGUUGUGGUUGCUGUUGAUGCUGUUGUAUUAAGAUUGGCAGUAGAUGUUGUGGUUGUUGCUGUUGUAAUAGGAUUGGCAGUAGAUGUUGUGACUGCUGUUAAUGCUGUUGUAUUAAGAUUGACAGUAGAUGUUGUGGUGGUGGUUGUUGUUGUUGCUGUUGUAAUAGGAUUGGCAGUAGAUGUUGUGGUUGUUGUUGUUGCUGCUGCUGUUGUUGUGUUAGGUGUGGUUGUAGUUGUAAUUGUAGUGGAACUGGUUGUAGUGGCUUUGGUAGUUGUGGUGAAGGGCUUCCAUACUGUUGUGUGGGUUUGGUUAUUUUGUAGAAUAUGAAAAAUAAAAAUAAAAGUUGAGAAAAAUACCUUCA
ensembl:lncRNA